rnacentral:rRNA from 1 species
CCUACGGGCGGCAGCAGUGAGGAAUAUUCGUCAAUGGCCGGAAGGCUGAACCAGCCAUGCCGCGUGAAGGUCAGUGCCCUAUGGGCGGUAAACUUCUUUUGUGCGGGAGCAAUAAUGGUCACGGGUAGCCAGACGAGAGUACCGUACGAUUAACCAUCGGCUAAAUCUGCGCCAGCAGCCGCGGUCAUACGGGGGGGGCAAGCGUUAUCCGGAUAUAUCGGGUUUAAAGGGUGCGUAGGCUGUGAGGUAAGUCAGCGGUGAAAUGCCCCCGCUCAAAGGGGUGAAGUGCCAUUGAUACUGGCUAGCUGGAAUGAGGAUGCGGUAAGAGGAAUGUGAGGUGUAGCGGUGAAAUGCAUAGAUAU